rnacentral:lncRNA from 1 species
UUCUCCAACAGGAAAUCAAAGAGUUACAGGAGAAAUACAAGGUUGAGUUGUGCACUGAGCAGGCCCUUCUUGCAGAAUUAGAGGAGCAGAAAACUGUUAAGGCCAAACUCAGAGAGACCUUGACUUUCUUUGAUGAGCUUGAAAACAUCGGCAGAUAUCAAGGAACUAGUAACUUUAGGGAGAGUUUGGCAUCCCUGGUCCAGAGCUGCAGAAAACUUCAGAGCAUUAGAGACAAUGUAGAAAAAGAAAGCAGGAGACUGGAAACACAGUGAUUUCUCAGUAAUGAAAAGAGAGCAUAGAAAUAGAUAGCUUUUCUUUGUUUAUUUACUCUUAUGUUUAGGUCUUUUGGGGCCACGCUCCCCUCCUGUCCUGGGUUACACAAAGCAAAUCAGCAGACCUUCUAAAUCGCAGGCUGCAGUGGAGACCUCAGAAGCAGAGCUUGUGUCCAUUUGCUUUUCUCUCUCAAACUUGGCUCACAUCUGGUAAAGCCUCCAGUUCUUUUGGGAUUGCACUCAUUUUGCUGUUAGGUAUGUUUAGUAUGAUUUCAGGAGGGAAUAGAAUCCUCAUGGAACUGGAUGUUUCUGCUCAUUUUUGCUGUAUAAAGCAGGUCUGUAUUCAUUGAGUAUAACCAUGAGGUACAUCAGGGACUAAUAGAGCCGGGCUGAGGACAUAGCUCAGUGGUAGAGUAUGCUCAACAUACUUAGGAUUUAACAUGGAGAGAAGCAGAAAGAGGAGUGGGAAGGAGGAGAAGGAAAUCAAAGGGCAGCAGGGCACAGUAGAGGGGAUCAGGGUAUGGGAUGACAUAUAGUGCAAUAUAUUAAAGGGGCAUGUCCCAUUGAUAAUGUAAGAUUCAAGUCAAGCUUAGAAGGUGUUAGCCUCUCACCUAAGAGAUCACUCUAGGCAAAGAAAAUAGCAGAAAACCCAUAAGGUAGAACAUAUGGAAUUCACACAGCUGGAACAGAUAUGGCCAAUUUAGGAAAUGGGAUACGCCUGUCACAUUCCAGUCUACUUUUUGUAAGUCUGAUGAGAUGGGUCGGCAGGUAAAAUACUUGUAAUACAAGCCUGGUGACCUGAGUAGGAUCCCCAAAACCUACUUAAAGAUGGAAAGAAUUGACUCCACAAAGUUGUCUUAAGGUACACUGUGGCAUGUACACUCUCAUCCCCCACAUUGUGUGUACACACACAGUCUCUCUUAAGAGACAAGCAAAACCUCUGUGUAUGUGUGAGUAUGUGCUAUUAAAAACUAACUCCUAGCUGGAUUUCAUGCCGUUGAUCCCAGUACUCAGGAGGCAGAGGCAGGUGGACCUCUUGUGAAUUUAGCCUGGUUUACAUAAAGAGUUCAGGGCAGCCAGGACUAAAGAGACCCCAUCUCAGAAAACAAAAAACCCAAAUGUGAUUGAUGGCACUUGUUAGAUUGGUAAAGCAGACUUUAUUCAGGACCCUUAAGUUAGAUACUGGGACCAUUGCAGAAGGAUUUUGCAUUGAGAGAUUAGAUUCUGAAUAUAAGAAGUAAAAAGAUGUUUGGGAAUGUGCAACUAAGGGACAGAAUGGGACUUGUUGGGACAAAGCAAGUAUCAUUGGAUGGAAAAUUACUAAAAGGGUCGGUAUAAGGGGUUUGAAUGUAUCCCAUAAAAUUCAUAUGUUAAAACUCUUGACUUCUUAGUGGUACACUGUAGAGGUUUAUACUUUGAUUAAUGUCAGUACUGUGGGAACAGGAGUGUUCCUUAGGGAAUAGAUUCCCAAUAAAGGAUGGACUCAGGUCCUUCUGCUCUGGCAUGAUCUCACCCUGUAACACCUGAGACAGCAGGAAGGCAUGUAACUUUGGAUUCUAUACAUACAAUAAAUAAUCUCUAUACCUGUAAUAAAUAAAUACUUCAG